UUACUCGAACAUUGAUUUAAAUUGUCAGGAAAGAAGAGGAAGGAAUUUAAAAGGUAAAAAGGUAAAUGUGUUUAAAAAUCCAAAAAUCAUUUUUAAGGUUGUAUUUUUUCCUCUAAAAUUGUCUUUCUGAAAGUUAUAAGAAGCAAAGUAAAACAAUUAAUGAAUUUAUUUAAACAAGUGAAGACCAAGUCUUUAAAAUAUUUUCUUGGAUUUUCAAAUUCUAUUUGAGUUUUGUCUCUCUUAGAAUUAAAAAUGUCGAGCAAAGCGAGACCAGCUUGCUAGUAAAUAAAUACAAUUUAAAAAAUAGAGGCAGCUCACUGGUAAGUGCUGCUAUUUGAGCUAUUUUUAGAACAGGCCAGCGGGCUACUCAUCUGGUCCUUACGGGCUACCUGGUGCCCGCGGGCACCGCGUUGGUGACCCCUGCAUUAGCACUAUCUAUUAUAGCAAAAUAAAUUCCACAUUUAGCACUUAACAACUGUCUGUUUUAAAAGCAAAACAAGUUUAUCACUUGAGCACUAUCUAUUAAAGCAAAAAAAUAAAUCACAUUUAUCACUUUAGCGACUGUCUAGUGAGACAAGAGACACUCCGAUGUUGCCAAAGGCCCAAUUAAACAUUUUUUAGUUACUAUUGUGAAGUGAAGUGAAGUGAAUUACAUUUAUAUAGCGCUUUUUCUCAAGUGACUCAAAGCGCUUUACAUAGUGAAACCCAAUAUCUAAGUUACAUUCAAACCAGUGUGGGUGGCACUGGGAGCAGGUGGGUAAAGUGUCUUGCCCAAGGACACAACGGCAGUGACUAGGAUGGCGGAAGCGGGGAUCGAACCUGCAACCCUCAAGUUGUUGGCACGGCCGCUCUACCAACCGAGCUAUACUGUGAGUAUUAAAUGCCUACUGAAAGCCACUACUACCAACCACGCAGUCUGAUAGUUUAUAUAUCAAUGAUGACAUCUUAACAUUGCAACACAUGCCAAUACGGCCGGGUUAACUUAUAAAGUGACAUUUUACAUUUCCCGCUAAACUUCCGGUUAAAAACGUCUAUAUAUGAUGACGUAUGCGCGUGACGUAGCCAGUGAAACAGAAGUAUCGGUACCCCAUUGAAGCCAAUACUAACUGCUCUGUUUUCAUUUCAUAAUUCCACAGUAUUCUGGACAUCUGUGUUGGUGAAUCUGUUACAAUUUGUUUAAUGAACAAUGGAGACGGCAAAGAAGAAAGCUGUAGGUGGGAUCGAUGUAAGAAGGACUUACUUGGAUAGCAGACGCGCCAGCCGAUGCUAGCCGCCAACCGCAUCUGUGUUGGGGUGAAGUCCUUCGUCGCUCCGUUGAUCGCUGGAACGCAGGACAUUCGGCACAAAUGUGAGUCCCUCAAGUUUAUUUCAACUGAACCUGUGGGCCAUCACCAACUGAAUAGCCCAAAUAAUGAAAAGAAGAGGACCUACAAUUGAGCCUUGAGGAACACCACGAGUAACUAAAGAAGUUGAGGUAGCCAGAGACUGCAGAUGGAAAUGAGCUAUUUAGCUCUAACCUGGUACAGAACAUAUCUGUCUUUGAGCUUCAUGU